CAGUCGAACGUGCAAUGUGAAAGUAGCAAUACUUUUGCAAAGCAAGUGGCGAACGGGUGAGUAACAAGUGGACAAUCUGCCCUUAAGAUCGGGAUAAUUAUUCGAAAGGAUAGCUAAUACCGAAUGUUUUAUAUCUUUCGAUGAUUGAUAUAACAAAGGAAGCCGCAAGGCCUCCGCUUUUGGAUGAGUCCGCUGCCUAUUAGCUAGUUGGUAAGGUAAUGGCUUACCAAGGCUAUGAUGGGUAGCCGGCCCGAGAGGGUGUCCGGCCACACUGGGACUGAGAUACGGCCCAGACUCCUACGGGAGGCAGCAGUAGGGAAUAUUGCGCAAUGGGCGAAAGCCUGACGCAGCGACACCGUGUGUAGGAUGAAGGUCUUAGGAUCGUAAACUACUGUCAGUUGAAGAAGAAGGUAUGAAAGUUAAGAGCUUGAUUAUUGACGGUAUUCAACGAGGAAGUCUCGGCUAACUCCGUGCCAGCAGCCGCGGUAAGACGGGGGAGGCAAGCAUUGUCCGGAAUUAUUGGGCGUAAAGAACACGUAGGCUGUUUUUCAAGUCAAUUGUGAAAACCUUGGGCUUAACCCGAGGAUUGCAGUUGAUACUGGAUAACUAGAGUACAGUAGAGGAAAGUGGAAUUCCUGGUGUAGCGGUGAAAUGCGCAGAUAUCAGGAAGAACACCAGUGGCGAAAGCGGCUUUCUGGACUGUUACUGACGCUGAGGUGUGAAAGCUAGGGGAGCGAACAGGAUUAGAUACCCUGGUAGUCCUAGCUGUAAACGAUGGACACUAGGUGUGGGGAGUUAUCGACGCUCUCUG
rnacentral:rRNA from 1 species